UACUUUUUGUAGUCAAUAUUCAAUAUUCAGUAUAAGACGGCAUGAGCCCAACCAUUGCUUGGCAGUCGCAUUCUCUCCGACGACUCUUUCAGUUGGGCAAUUUAGGGUUUGAACUAUGAAGCAGAAAAUGGCGGCGAUCACCGGCGGAGGAAGCAACGGCGGCGAGUUAUUGUCAAGGUGGCCUAAUCUUCCAGGCGACGUUCUAGCAUCCAUCACCGAUCUUCUCGACCCAAAAAUCGGCAUCCUUCGACUUCGCUCCAUUUGCAGGUCAUGGCGUUCCUCACUUUCUCUCCUCCCCCCCGCCAUUAACUUCCCUCUCAAACUCCCCCUCUUAGCCUCCAAUGGCGCCUCAAGCUCUCCGUCGUCUCAUCCUCCCUCCGGCAAUCUCUUCCUUCAUGAACGAACCGUGUAUUUUCUCUCUCCUCCUGGAUACCCUUCCUCCAAUGGCGGCUUCCUCAUCAAGGUUAAGGAGAGUAAAAAUGCUCCAAACACCUUCUCUCUCCUUAACCCUAUUUUGUUUGAAGACAAACUCCCCCAACCGAAUUUCCCUCUUAAUCUUCUUGAUUGCAGCAUUUCCCUUGUUUGUAAAUCGUAUGUAGUUUCCACUGAUUUCGAAUGCGAACAGGUGGUGCUUAAGAAGGUGGCCGUUUCAACAAAUUUCGUAAACAAUGGCGAAUUUGUUGUUCUCGGUUUGAAAUUCAGCGGGGGUUUGUUAAUUUGGAGGUUUGGGGAUGAAGGAUGGACUGAAAUUGGGGUUAAUGGCCGUUGUUUUGAUGAUAUAAUUAGUUAUAAUGAUAAAUUCUAUGCUACUGCUGAUAUGAAAGGGAGGCUUGUGAUGAUUGAUUCGAGGUUGAAACCUAUUGAUUUGGUGCCAAAAUUGAUGUUUGGUAGUGGUAUAUCAACACAUUUGGUGGAGUGUGAUGGGAAUUUGUAUGUAGUUGACCAGGACAUUGAUAAUCGAGGGUCUAAGCUUGGAGUGUUUAAAUUGGAUGAUAAGGGUCAUUUUUGGGAUUAUGAGUUGGAUUUGAAUGAUAGUGUGUUCUUUGUGGGUGAUUAUGCAAAUUUUUCAUUGUCUAGAAAAUAUUAUAAUGGUGGCUUGAGAAAUAUGAUUUACUUUAAGGAUGUCUCUCUUGAUGAUGAUGGUGGUGAGAUUGAUGGACACAUCAAAGUUUUUGACUUGAAAACAAACACAAGUAGUUUGCUAUUCGAAUCUGAGAAAUAUGCCAAGCUUUGCUGGCCACCUUUGAGUUGGUUCAGUCAGGAUGCAGCUAUCUACUUCAAUUGAUUUGGGAAUUUGCUGCAGGUACUUACCUCCUUCUUUAGUCAACUUGAGAUCAACACUAUCCGGACCUGUAUAUUGGCCACGUUCAGCACCCCAGUAGAAACUAGUGCUGUCUGAAAAUGUGGCACGAACCGAGCAUAUUUGAAGAGCAAUUGCAGAGGCAAAGACAGCUAUGAGGAUUGCUCUAAGGUACUUUCAUUAUGUAUGCACGACGAUGCUGUACGAUGUUGUGCAGAUUGUACUUGUGAGUUCUAGUUAUGUCGACGUUCUUUUGUAAAUCAUAUUUCAAGGUUUGCAAAUCAUAAUGACUAUCAUAACCUUAGUGGAGCGCUUCUGCCUAGGGUGGAAGGGGGAUUUCCGCGGUGGCAGACGAUCUCUUUUUAUCAGACGGUCUCUUACAGAGUUACAGCUCCAUGAGCCCAAGAGCUGAAUCCAGGAAGCAGCGCUUGGAACACCGAGAUAGUUAACGAAUACUAGGUAGUGACCAGGAGGUGCGAGCUCACCACCAGGAGGAGCUUGCACCUGUAACUGAUAGUUGCCCAAUGGUAGAACAACAAAUCCGGUAAUUUUCAAAAUUAGAAGCCUCUGGUUCAUGGAGUAGCCAUGGGUGGUAAAAGGUGGUUUGUACAUAGUAACCAUGACAUCGGUUUGUGGGAUUGGCACGGGAGAAAGGAUGUUACAUGUUAUCUGAAUAGCUUGUCCAUAACCAAUGACAUUGUUUUGCACCUUAACCAUUUUAGGACUGAAUGCCUCAAGGGCCGGGUCAAGGUAAGGAGGAUCAAACUUCUCAACGCGAAGUUCAGUUGGGAAUUUGACAUUCUUGUAUAGGUAUCCAGGGUUGGUGUUACUUCCAGCAACGAGAAUUUUUCCAUCUGGGAGGACUGCGGAUGUUGAGUGGUACAUCCGAGGGAUCUGGCUUGCUGCCAAAACCUUAAACCGUUGACCAGCUGGCUUAUUGGGGCUGUAUAAAAACGGGGUUAAAAUAGGGUCAUCGGCAAACUGCCAACCAGAAGCACCCUUCUGAGCUCCAUUAAGGAUGAGAAUUUCACCAUUUGGAAGGUUUAACAUGUCACUCAUAACACGAGGUGCUGGCAUUGUUUCGACUUCCCAGUUAGCAGCAGGGUCUAGAACUUUAAUCCUUCCACAGGUAUCCAAUGCUGGAAGGAAGAUUCCCUCUUUUUCAGCCUUACCAAAGGCCAAUGGUUGUCCACCACCACAAACAAGUACCUCAAUGUCAACCUUGUCACCAUUCUGUAGAUUUAUUGGGAGGAUAGCUGUGGUAGCAGAGCCUGGGUAGUUUCGAGCUCCACCAGGCAAGUCUGGGUAGGUUCGGACAAUCUUAUUGGUUCUUACAUCAAGGAGAAUAGACCUGAAGUUGGCUAAGAUGAAGAGGUUUCCAUCUGGAGCAAGAUGAAUAAAGGGGUAUAGGUUGUUCUCGUGUAUAUCAGUUGUAUCUAAAAGGAAAGGAAGAUCAAUUUUUCCAGGGCUAGGUUUGUCUUCUGGAGCAAUGAAUUCGUAGUUGAAGGCACGUCUUCCUCCAAGUACUAUAUACCGUCCAUCAGCUAGCAUUGUCUGGGUACCAUACCACCUGAUGUCUGACAACAGAACGGGGGAUUCCUUCCAAUCGCAUGUGUCACAGGAGCUGUAGUAUCGUUGGAUUCUCUCUCCAUCUUUCCACCCACCCGUGUUUAGUAGGGCACCAUCAGGUGUCAGCCCACCACUUGAGCACCAUGGAUCGGUCAGGACCUGGAAAAUUAAAAAAAAACCUCAUCAUUUCUAUGCUGUAUUGCAUGCAAGAAAGGUAAUGAAAGUAGAAUAAUACCUUGAGUGUUCUGACAUUGUUGGUUGCAGGAUCAUAUUCGACAGCGUGUGAGAAACAAUCGAACUGAUCUGUUGUGUUUGGAAUAAGGCGACAAUUAGCAGGAGGAAGUUCAAUGUUUGAUCUUCCCAAAGAAGUGGCAUCAAACAUAACAAGUUUGUUGGUAGGCAUAAGCUGCAUAUGCAUAGAUGAAACUCCAGAGUUUUCAGAAACUACAACCCACUUCCCCGGGUAAUUCGUCUCUUUAAUCACCCCUGGUUGUGCCUGUGCCUGUGCCUGUGCCUGUGCCUGUGGUAAUGGCAAAUUAUCAUUUGUAGGUUUGGUUUCUUGUUGUUUACCACCACCAAAAUUAACACCUGGAACAAGGCGCCCAAAUAUAUCGCGAAAUUGUGGAAGACCAUAAAUACGUGGUGGCGUUCCUCCUUCCUCCUCUGCAUCGGGUUUGUGUCCUAGGUAAUGCCCACCAGGUAGUCCCUUAAUAAAAUCGGCUGAGCUAGACACAAACAGGAGACAAAAUAUACAUAAAAACUUGAUGAUCAAGCUAGACAUUUUUAUUGAUUUACUAUAAUAUGAUCUAUAAAAUGAUUAUUAGAAAUAUUAUUCUAUGUUUUGAUAAUGAUACAUAUAAACUAAGCUAAUUACGGAAAAAACAUGGGUUAAUUUUCUUUGA